ensembl:lncRNA
CUCAUCCCCAACGUGCUUAGCACAGGUUUUGCCUUCAUAGAUGCUAAGCUUGCUGGGGCUAUCUCGCAGGAGAGGAAUGAUAAUGGCGAAGUGUUCAGCACAGAGGGACAGUACCCUGAGAGUGGCCCGGAACUCUACUCUGCUCCCACUGACACUUCUUCAAGUGCGAAGGCUAGCAAGGACAAAAAUAGGACUCACAAGGACUCGAACUUCACAGAGGAGCACUGCAAUGGUGAAGACUUGAACAGCACCCUCCCCUCGGUUACAGCUGAACAAGCUGUUUGCGCUGAGAUUAGAGUCUCUGCUGCAGACUCUGCCCCCCAGGACUGUGUGUCUGGCCUGAGCAUUGUGUCUUCACUGGGUGACCUAUUGGAGGGACAAGAGACUGUGAAAUCCCAGGUGUCCAAGCAGCAUAAGCUAGACGUAGAGGCAAAGAGUGUUGCCACUGGAAUCACUGAUGGAGGGCAGGUCGUGAGUCCCCAGGGUGAGAGACCUAGGAGCGCUGGCAGGACGAGCCCGACGUUGGAUGGGCAUGAGCCCUGGUUUGAUUGCGAAGGAGAUCUCUACCGUGGCGAGGAG